ensembl:lncRNA
AGCGCGGUCACCUGUGAUACAAGUCAGGAUUAGACGUCCAUCCAUGUCUGAGGACGUCGGGAGAUGAUGUGGAAAACGGCAACUAGGGGCAACAGUGAGCGCUGUUACCUUCAAGAAGGUUUCCUUUUUGCUAGGGUGUUGUGGACUGGGGUGUUGUGGACUAGGGUGUUGUGGACUAGGGUGUUGUGGACUGGGGUGUUGUGGACUAGGGUGUUGUGGACUGGGGGGUUGUGGACUAGGGUGUUGUGGACUAGGGUGUUGUGGACUAGGGUGUUGUGGACUAGGGUGUUGUGGACUAGGGGGUUGUGGACUAGGGUGUUGUGGACUAGGGUGUUGUGGACUAGGGUGUUGUGGACUAGGGUGUUGUGGACUAGGGGGUAGUGGACUAGGGUGUUGUGGACUAG